UUGAACAAAGAGAAAAAGAAGAUAUGAAAGAACAAACCCAACUCCAAACUCUCCCUCGUCGGCCCGCUCAUUCCAACUUCUGAAGCACAAAAGAAAUGGCCAAGUAGAUACACUUGCAAAUGCUUCUUCAAGGUAUAGUCGAUCAGAUGAAGAGGAAGAAGUUCAGCAGGCAAAGUGUCAUUAUACUAAAGCUUUCAUAGAUAGGAGUGAGUACAAUCUUGGUGAUAAUGCUUAUGUCAAGGCUAAGGAUG